rnacentral:rRNA from 1 species
GAUGAACGCUGGCGGCGUGCCUAAUACAUGCAAGUCGAGCGAACGGAUGAGGAGCUUGCUCCUCUGACGUUAGCGGCGGACGGGUGAGUAACACGUGGAUAACCUACCUAUAAGACUGGGAUAACUUCGGGAAACCGGAGCUAAUACCGGAUAAUAUAUUGAACCGCAUGGUUCAAUAGUGAAAGACGGUUUUGCUGUCACUUAUAGAUGGAUCCGCGCCGCAUUAGCUAGUUGGUAAGGUAACGGCUUACCAAGGCAACGAUGCGUAGCCGACCUGAGAGGGUGAUCGGCCACACUGGAACUGAGACACGGUCCAGACUCCUACGGGAGGCAGCAGUAGGGAAUCUUCCGCAAUGGGCGAAAGCCUGACGGAGCAACGCCGCGUGAGUGAUGAAGGUCUUCGGAUCGUAAAACUCUGUUAUUAGGGAAGAACAAAUGUGUAAGUAACUAUGCACGUCUUGACGGUACCUAAUCAGAAAGCCACGGCUAACUACGUG